rnacentral:rRNA from 1 species
AUGAUGAACCCGAAGAGGGACAGGGGCAUAGGUUUCCGGGAUAUGCACUUAUUUAACCAAGCAUUAUCGGCGCGUCAGGGAUGGAGAUUGAUUCGGAACCCGGAGAGCCUUUGUGCUAGAGUGUUGAAAUCAAAAUAUUAUCCUAAAGGAGACAUUCUGGAUACGAUUUUUUUCACUGAUGCGUCGCCGGCUUGGAGAGGUAUUGAAUUUGGGCUGGAACUUCUUAAAGAGGGUCUGAUAUGGCGUGUGGGGAACGGGAGGAGAAUACAAAUCUCGAGGGAUCAAUGGAUACCUCAUAAAACAGGGCUAAGGAUGGCAGAGUUCAUUAGACGGUCCCGACUAAGGUGGGUAAAUCAGUUGAUUCAUCCGGACACAAACACAUGGAACACAAAUCUAGUGAGGAAUAUCUUCCACCCUUUUGACGCUGAUGAGAUAUGCAACAUUUGGCUGCCGACAAUCAGUAUGGAGGACCAUGUUGCAUGGCAUUAUGAUAAAACGGGGAUGUUCACGGUGAAGAGUGCAUACAAAUUGGCUGACUCCUUAAAGAGACAAGGCUCGUUGAAUUCUUCAAGUUCUACGAGUGAACCAGGAGACAGAAGGAUUUGGGACGUGAUCUGGAAAGCCCAUGUGCCAGAGAAGGUCAAAGUGUUUGGUUAG